GACGAACGCUGGCGGCGUGCUUAACACAUGCAAGUCGAACGGUGAAAGCGGAGCUUGCUCCGCUGGAUCAGUGGCGAACGGGUGAGUAACACGUGGGCAACCUGCCCCUCACUUCGGGAUAACUCCGGGAAACCGGGGCUAAUACCGGAUAUGACCUCCUUGGGCAUCCUUGGAGGUGGAAAGUUUUUCGGUGAGGGAUGGGCCCGCGGCCUAUCAGCUUGUUGGUGAGGUAGUGGCUCACCAAGGCGACGACGGGUAGCCGGCCUGAGAGGGCGACCGGCCACACUGGGACUGAGACACGGCCCAGACUCCUACGGGAGGCAGCGGUGGGGAAUAUUGCGCAAUGGGCGAAAGCCUGACGCAGCAACGCCGCGUGCGGGAUGACGGCCUUCGGGUUGUAAACCGCUUUCAGCAGGGAAGAAGCCGCAAGGUGACGGUACCUGCAGAAGAAGCACCGGCUAACUACGUGCCAGCAGCCGCAGUAA
rnacentral:rRNA from 1 species